UACGGAGGGUGCAAGCGUUAUCCGGAAUCACUGGGUUUAAAGGGUACGUAGGCUGUUUGAUAAGUCAGUGGUGAAAUUUCCGCGCUUAACGUGGGAAUUGCCAUUGAUACUGUUGAACUUGAAAUUUAUCGGGGCUGUCGGAAUGCGUCAUGUAGCGGUGAAAUGCUUAGAUAUGACGUAGAACACCAAUCGCGAAGGCAGGCAGCCAGAUGAUAUUUGACGCUGAGGUACGAAAGCGUGGGUAGCAAACAGG
rnacentral:rRNA from 1 species